ACGCUCGACACCUACUGGAGGCAGCAGUGAGGAAUAUUGGUCAAUGGGCGCUAGCCUGAACCAGCCAAGUAGCGUGAAGGAUGAAGGCUCUAUGGGUCGUAAACUUCUUUUAUAUAAGAAUAAAGUGCAGUAUGUAUACUGUUUUGUAUGUAUUAUAUGAAUAAGGAUCGGCUAACUCCGUGCCAGCAGCCCGGUAAUCCUGAGCGGGCUGGCAAGGC
rnacentral:rRNA from 1 species